UACGUAGGGUGCAAGCGUUAUCCGGAAUUAUUGGGCGUAAAGAGCUCGUAGGCGGCUUGUCACGUCGGAUGUGAAAGCCCGGGGCUUAACCCCGGGUCUGCAUUCGAUACGGGCAGGCUAGAGUGUGGUAGGGGAGAUCGGAAUUCCUGGUGUAGCGGUGAAAUGCGCAGAUAUCAGGAGGAACACCGGUGGCGAAGGCGGAUCUCUGGGCCAUUACUGACGCUGAGGAGCGAAAGCAUGGGGAGCGAACAGG
rnacentral:rRNA from 1 species